ensembl:lncRNA
CCUCCCCGGGGGGGGGGGGGUCGGAACACAGCGAUGGGGACACCGAAGGGGGGGGUCAGCUCGGUGACGUCAUUGGUGACGUCAUUGGGGACACCCUGUGGGGUCAUCCUUUGGGGACAGCAGUGGGGACACCCCUUAAGGACACCCCAUGGGGACACCAUUGGGGACAUCAGUGGGGACACCCCUUAAGGACACCCCAUGGGGACACCAUUGGGACAUCAGUGGGGACAUCAGUUUGGUGACGUCAUCAGCAUUGGGGACAGCAUUGGGGACAUCAGUGGGGACAUCAGUGGGGGCAUUGGGGACAUCAUUGGGGGCAUUGGGGACAUCAGUGGGGGUGGUGGCAUUGGGGACAGCAGUUUGGGGACACCCCUUGGGGACAGCAUUGGGGACAGCAUUGGGGACAUCAGUGGGGACAGCAGUGGGGAACCCCAUUGGGGACAGCAGUGGGGACACCCCUUAAGGACACCUCAUGGGGACACCAUUGGGGACAUCAGUGGGGAACCCCAUUGGGGACAGCAGUGGGGACACCCCUUAAGGACACCCCAUGGGGACACCAUUGGGGACAUCAGUGGGGACAUCAGUUUGGUGACGUCAUCAGCAUUGGGGACAUCAGUGGGGACAUCAGUGGGGGCAUUGGGGACAUCAUUGGGGGCAUUGGGAACAUUGGGGACAUCAUUGGGGGCUUUGGGGACAUCAUUGGGGGCAUUGGGGACAGCAGUGGGGGUGGUGGCAUUGGGGACACCAGUUUGGGGACACCCCUUGGGGACAGCAUUGGGGCCAUCAGUGGGGAACCCCAUUGGGGACAGCAGUGGGGACACUCCUUUGGUGACGUCAUCAGCAUUGGGGACAGCAUUGGGGACGUCAGUGGGGACAUCAGUGGGGGCAUUGGGGACAUCACUGGGGGCAUUGGGGACACCCCUUGGGGACAGCAUUGGGGACAUCAGUGGGGACAUUGGGGACACCAUUGGUGGUGGUGGCAUUGGGGACACCAGUUUGGGGACACCCCUUGGGGCCAUCAGUGGGGAACCCCAUUGGGGACACCCCUUAAGGACACCCCGUGGGGACAUCAGUGGGGACA